UGGGGAAUAUUGCACAAUGGGCGCAAGCCUGAUGCAGCCAUGCCGCGUGUGUGAAGAAGGCCUUCGGGUUGUAAAGCACUUUCAGCGAGGAGGAAGGGUGGUGUGUUAAUAGCGCAUCACAUUGACGUUACUCGCAGAAGAAGCACCGGCUAACUCCGUGCCAGCAGCCGCGGUAAUACGGAGGGGGCAAGCGUUAAUCGGAAUUACUGGGCGUAAAGCGCACGCAGGCGGUUUGUUAAGUCAGAUGUGAAAUCCCCGCGCUUAACGUGGGAACUGCAUUUGAAACUGGCAAGCUAGAGUCUUGUAGAGGGGGGUAGAAUUCCAGGUGUAGCGGUGAAAUGCGUAGAGAUCUGGAGGAAUACCGGUGGCGAAGGCGGCCCCCUGGACAAAGACUGACGCUCAGGUGCGAAAGCGUGGGGAGCAAACA
rnacentral:rRNA from 1 species